rnacentral:lncRNA from 1 species
GAAGUUCAGCCCAAGUAGAUUUUACUUUGGAACUUCAAAAUUCUUGCAUUUAUAUAAAGCCUAGCAUAUGUGCCCAGUUCCCAUCAUCAGCAAACAGAUAAAGAAAUUUAAAAAAAAGGAAAAGCACUAGAAGAGUGCAUUAAGUAAAGAUGUCAUCAAAAGAUGAUUUACGUCUAUUGGAUUUCUGGGCAAGAUCAUUUGCAUGAGGGUUAAAAUAGUAGGAAAUGAGAGCAACAAAUUCAAUAAUAAUACUACUUCAAUAUUUUUUAUAAGCAAAUAUACGGAUUGACUUGAGCCGCAUUGGGUAUUGUCUUAAGAAACUAUUUCAGCAGUGUGAAAUAUUUUUUCAGAAUUAAACAAGCAUGUAUAGGUCAAAAUCUGACCAGACAAGAACGGUGUGGGAAGGUACGACGGAAGGUUACUUCGAACUACUGUGCCCCUGCCACAUUGUAACAACACGCACCUCGACCACGACUGACGUCGUAUAUUCGGGAUAUCUGAGAGGCGAAUUGGAUAUUAUGCCAUUUCAAGGGCUCAACUCGUAAUAUAGUCAAAUGACUCAAAUACUAUGGUCAAUGACCACUGGGGUAGAGAGAAGAUCUAGUAUAUAAACUAAGUGAGAAGAAGAAGAAGAAAAGGGGCGGAAAAAAUAAAAACAUGGGCACAUCCUUGAAAGAGAGGAGGAAUCAUCAUCUUUAUUUCUCCAUGAAGGAGAAAAAAGCAAGGGCGCUAAGAUCUUUAACAUAGAUCGUUAGUCACCUCACACCCUAUAUAUGGGAUUCUACCUUAUUAAAGACCGAUAACAUUUUCAUCCAUGUAUUCCUUAUUAAUUGUUAAACAUUAUAAAAAUCAUCAUCUUCUUCCCAUAUAUUGUGAUUUAAUCAAUAUUACAGCUAAAUACUAUAUGUGCUAUGCCUGCUUACUUUUAUCAUCUAUUAUAGAUCUGGAAUAAAUUAUCGUUGGCUAAGAUUUACCUAAAGUCUUCUUCUUUAA